CUCACAAGCACACACACAUCAUCAUCAUCGAUUCUUCAUCUCUUGGCUCUCUCACUCUUUCUUGGAUCUUUUCUUCGCAAAUCAUCUAUUUGGGCCAGGGGAAAACACGCUUGUGUGGACAUUACAGGAGUGCCCCCUCUUGUUGGGCUCAUGGAUAACAGGUUUGUUGCUGGCCAGGCUGCGUUGAAGGCGGAAUCAAGCAAGGUCGCUAAACAUGAGAAGGCUUGUUUAGAGAAUCAACAUGUAUUUAUCCCAUUCGCUUUUGAUACAUUUGGUUCCCUAGCCCCAGAGGCUGUGGAAUUCCUAAACAAGGUCCAACAGGUUGUGAAUAGUAAUUUCUCAAACCUUUGAGGGUCGUUUCGUCUUUAGUAGAAUUGGUUUUGCAAUUCAAAAGGGGGUUGCGGCGCAGCUUGUUGCCCAUUUACCUGCCACUUGUUUGUAAUUUGUUACUUUGGCAUUUUAAUGAAAAUAUCAUUUAUAUAAAAAAAAAAAAAAUACUAAAAAGCGCAUUUAAUCAACAUACUGCAAAACACUAAACAAGCAAAACAGAAUCCACAAGUAGUGUCUAUUUAUUUUAGAGAAAAAAGUGACAACAUUUAAGACUUACAUAUUAGCCACACAAAGGUAGAACAAACAUAUAUGA